rnacentral:rRNA from 1 species
GCAUAUCAAUAAGCGGAGGAAAAGAAACUAACAAGGAUUCCCCUAGUAACUGCGAGUGAAGCGGGAAAAGCUCAAAUUUAAAAUCUGGUGGCCUCUGGUCGCCCGAGUUGUAAUUUAGAGAAGCGUCUUCCGCGCUGGACCAUGCACAAGUCUCCUGGAAUGGAGCSUCAUAGAGGGUGAGAAUCCCGUCUUUGGCAUGGAUGCACCAGGGCUUUCGUGAUGCGCUCUCAAAGAGUCGAGUUGUUUGGGAAUGCAGCUCAAAAUGGGUGGUGAACUCCAUCUAAAGCUAAAUAUAGGCGAGAGACCGAUAGCGAACAAGUACCGUGAGGGAAAGAUGAAAAGCACUUUGGAAAGAGAGUGAAACAGUACGUGAAAUUGUUGAAAGGGAAACGCUUGAAGUCAGUCGCGUCGACCGAGACUCAGCCUCGCCUUGGCUUGGUGUACUUCUCGGCCGACGGGUCAGCGUCAAUUUUGCCCCUCGGAUAAUGGCAAGGGAAAGGUAGCACCUUUAUAGGUGUGUUAUAGUCUCUUGUCGCAUGCGAGGGUCGGGAUUGAGGAACUCAGCACGCACCUCUCGGUGUCGGGGCUUCGGCCCACGCUACGUGCUUAGGAUGCUGGCGUAAUGGCUUUAAACGACCCGUCUUGAAACACGGACCAAGGAGUCUAACAUGCCCGCGAGUGUUCGGGUGGAAAACCCGUGCGCGUAAUGAAAGUAAAAGUUGGGACCUCUGUCGUGGGGGGCACCGACGCCCGGACCAGACCUUCUGUGACGGAUCUGCGGUAGAGCGUGCAUGUUGGGACCCGAAAGAUGGUGAACUAUGCCUGAAUAGGGUGAAGCCAGAGGAAACUCUGGUGGAGGCUCGUAGCGAUUCUGACGUGCAAAUCGAUCGUCAAAUUUGGGUAUAGGGGCGAAAGACUAAUCGAACCAUCUAGUAGCUGGUUCCUGC